rnacentral:rRNA from 1 species
AUUGAACGCUGGCGGCAUGCCUUACACAUGCAAGUCGAACGGCAGCAUAGGAGCUUGCUCCUGAUGGCGAGUGGCGAACGGGUGAGUAAUAUAUCGGAACGUGCCCUAGAGUGGGGGAUAACUAGUCGAAAGACUAGCUAAUACCGCAUACGAUCUACGGAUGAAAGUGGGGGAUCGCAAGACCUCAUGCUCCUGGAGCGGCCGAUAUCUGAUUAGCUAGUUGGUGGGGUAAAAGCUCACCAAGGCGACGAUCAGUAGCUGGUCUGAGAGGACGACCAGCCACACUGGGACUGAGACGCGGCCCAGACUCCUACGGGAGGCAGCAGUGGGGAAUUUUGGACAAUGGGGGCAACCCUGAUCCAGCAAUGCCGCGUGAGUGAAGAAGGCCUUCGGGUUGUAAAGCUCUUUUGUCAGGGAAGAAACGGUUCUGGAUAAUACCUGGGACUAAUGACGGUACCUGAAGAAUAAGCACCGGCUAACUACGUGCCAGCCGCCGCCGUAA